UAACCAAGAAAAAGAGCUAUUUACAUUCAAACAAGGCGUCACAUACAAAAGCAAGAAUCCAUUGCAAGGAACCACAAACACCGAAAAACACAACCAUCACCAAAGUAUUUGACAUUCCAAAAAGAACACCAGAUACGUACAUAUACCACCCCUCCCGUUCGCGUCCAACACCAUCAUCUCCACCUGCGCCCUCGGCUCGUCCAAAACGUCCGCAUACAAUAUACCAGAUACACCACCAAAUCAAACUCAAAUUCACGAAUCAAAAUCAAAUUUUUAGAAAGAAACCCAGAUCGGGAAAUGGGGCAGGGACCUUAUCGGGGUAGGGCACGGACUCGUCGCCGAGCACCGCGUCGCGGGAGCCGUCGAAGGCGACUGCGGCGGAGCCCUUGUAGUGUUACAUCUGCCAAGAAUAAAGAUGGAUUAGGAGCAGAAGUAGAAGCUUAGUGAUAGAGUAACAAGUGCAAAU
rnacentral:lncRNA from 1 species